UGUCAGCUUGACUCGGCCCCUCCCCCGGGCUGGAGAGGCUCCAUCAUCACAACAAAACAGGCUGGAGGCCUGCGGCCCUCGCUCGCGUCCCUUCCUGACGCGCCUUGGGUCUCAGAGAUCCAAGCCCCUUCCCCCAUAACCGCCGCCAGCGGCGGCGAGGGGCUACCCGGGGGACAGGCGGAUGGCCAGCCUGAGCCAGAAUCAAACUUCAGGCCGCGCGUGGAGGAGGAGUCUGUAGGCCUCGAGCAGAGGGUAUGGGAGGAGUCUAAAGGCCCCUCCAGGCUCUCCCAGGAACUGCACUGUGCAGGAGCUCCAUGGACCUGCCUCCCCUCCUGCCCCCACCGCACUCCUGUCACUUUUGGCCACUGGACUGUGCCUGCUCACUGAGCGCCACCGGAGGGUGCAGGUUUUGGAGAAGACACAAAAAGAUGGAAGACCAUU